AGUCUUUUGUCAGAGAAGUCAAGAAAUGUAAAAGUUCUUUUCUAGCAAAGAAGGCAUCAUCAUCAUUACAACGAAGUAUAUCAAUAUCAGGUGAUAUAUUUUCUGACACAGACGAAUUAAACGUUGACUCGGAUGGAUGCAAUUGUAGAGUUUGUUAUUGUCAAUUCAGAAAUCAGGCUGAAGUGAUAUCAACUGUUGACUCAUUGACUUCUCAUUGGAUACCAGCACAGUUAUGAUAGAGAAUAUACACAAAAUAUUGCUUAAUUACAAUAAGAUGAAGGUAAUUGUCGGUACACCUAGCAUGUGUUGAACAGUUAACAACAGCUUUGCUUUCAUGUUCUUAUCAAAUUUGAAAAAACUGAUCUUCUACCACACCAAGCUCAGCAUACUCAAACUAGGAGCACAUCAUCAGUGGAGGAGCUUGACAGGUUAGUUGUUAGGUUGGAAUUAGCCGCUUCUCCAUUUUUUUAUACAAGAUGCUUCAUCAAGUGAAGUUGCGUUUGUUGAAGAUCGAAGACUGAAUGUGAUAGUUCUUUUCUGUGCUUAAACAAAGCUGAGGCUGCUAUAAAAAAAAGAGUUAGCAAGAAACCUGCUAGACACUCUGUUUUUUAAGGAAGAGCAGUCCUGCAGCAGCAUAAAAGGGAAAGCACAAGAAAAACGACAACAGGAUGUGAAGAAAAUGGAAGCUUUAAGAAGUUUUUGUAUGCUGAGAUUUUUUUGGGUCCAGAUGAAGUACUUAUGGUCGUUUUGAACAAGUUGAACAAAAUGUCUGGAAACAAGUUCCGAUUUUAGUGUAAGAAGAGACUGUUUUAGUUUAGGCGAGAACUAUUUGCAUUGUAGUACUGUAUAAUAGAGAUCGAUAUUCUGAAUUGAUGUGGCGUUUAUAAAUGCAUACAUUGUAGA